AUUGAACGCUGGCGGCAGGCCUAACACAUGCAAGUCGAGCGGAGCGGCGGACGGGUGAGUAAUGACUAGGAAUCUGCCUGGUAGUGGGGGAUAACGUCCGGAAACGGGCGCUAAUACAGCAUAAUAUAAGAUGAGCCUAGGUCGGAUUAGCGAGUUGGUGGGGGAAAGGACUACAAAGGAGACGAACCGUACCUGGUCUGAGAGGAUGAUCAGUCACACUGGAAAGGAGACACGGUCCAGACUCCUACGGAAGGCAGCAGUGGGGAAUAUUGGACAAUGGGCGAAAGCCUGAUCCAGCCAUGCCGCGUGUGUGAAGAAGGUCUUCGGAUUGUAAAGCACUUUAAGUUGGGAGGCGUUACCAACAGAAUAAGCACCGGCUAACUUCGUGCCAGCAGCCGCGGUAAUUC
rnacentral:rRNA from 1 species